rnacentral:rRNA from 1 species
UACGAAGGGGGCUAGCGUUGUUCGGAUUUACUGGGCGUAAAGCGCACGUAGGCGGAUCGUUAAGUCAGGGGUGAAAUCCUGGAGCUCAACUCCAGAACUGCCUUUGAUACUGGCGAUCUUGAGUCCGGAAGAGGUGAGUGGAACUCCGAGUGUAGAGGUGAAAUUCGUAGAUAUUCGGAAGAACACCAGUGGCGAAGGCGGCUCACUGGACUGGUAUUGACGCUGAGGUGCGAAAGCGUGGGGAGCAAACAGG